GCAUUUGUAAACAAAAAGAUGAAAUGAAUUUUUCAAUUCCUCAGGAACCAGGAUUGUUUUCUUCCCAACUGCUGUUAAUGGAAGUAAUUUUGUGUGGUUGGACUUAAAAUGGACUGCCCCUCAGCCAAUCUAUGAUUUCCUCGAGAAGACAGUCUAUAAAAUUCAUCCUGAUUCUUAUUAAAUAUUUGUUAUUUUUAAAUGUUCGAUUUAUGUUAAAUAUAUAAACUAGUACUGUAAUUUAA